GAAGUAUUAAUCCAUAAAGUUUGCGUGACUUUAAUCUAGCAGUUCUAGUUUCUGGAAGGAUUGUGUCGAAUGUUUGCUCACAUCAGAUGAAGUGCGUGUUGAUGCUGACAUGUAAAAUUUGAUGGUGAAAUGAGGAACAUUUUAAAUGGACCUAGGCUUCCAACUGAUCUUGAUACAGGCAAGCUACGCUUCUGAGGAGAGAUUGAUUGAAAACAAAUGUGAUGAGUCUAUUAAAGAAAAUAUUGAUUUUAUCGUUUGGUGUGAAAUGUAAAAUAAUAACUCUAUCGGGAUCCUAAUUACCUAUAUAGUUUAUUCUUAUAUAACUGGGAAUUACCUUUCUAAAUAUAUACCUCCUAAUAUUUCUAAAUACUAUAACUACGCUCAAAAUGUCUGUAAAAUGAUAUAUUAUUAAAAUAU